GGCUGUGGGAAGGUGGUCCUGGGCGAAAAACAUCGUCCAGAAAAGCAACCAACGGGGCAACUUUGCAUGUUUUUUGCAGUCCUUUGAUUUCCAAAACAAACCAUUAAACUUCGGAAUUGAUACAAAUUAAAUGAAGUGACGGAUUUGACUUGUUUGCCAUCGGGAAUAAAGUUGGGAAACUACGAGGUAAAAAUGGAGAGCCCAGCUGAGUGAGAGUGGGGUGAGGAGGCUGGAUUUGGCAAAGUUGGGAGUCCUGCCCUGCUGCUAGCAGGCUAGUUAGCAUGUUAAACACUUCUUCAACACGCUAUUUCGGAUAAGUAAUGAGAGCUUCCCUCUGCUGUUCUUCAGCCUGUGAUUCUCCAUGGGAGCUGCUUUAUCUGUGAAAAGACCUGCUGCUGACAUCGCAGCCUUCCCCAAUGGAUCGGAGCGUAGUUGAUGAUCUUAGUUCUGCCUAAAUCUUUCUGCAUUUCUCCUAAAUGCAACUGCACUCAACCCUGUGUCAUAAAAUCGCUCUCCCUCCGCUGCCCUGAUCAGUCAUUUCUGUCCCAUGAGCAUCCAUACUAGCUCAUGCGGUUUUCUCUCAAACAUUCAGCUGAACAUCUGAAAUGGGGCCCUGGUAGGUUCUGCAAGGGGCUUGAGGGACCCCCUGCCUGCUGAUUGUGCAGCCUGUCUGUGUGUGUGACACCCACCGGCACAGGCCUAUCAAAAGAAUACUGUAACA